GUCCACGCCGUAAACGAUGAACACUAGGUUUCGGCCCCGUCAACGGGUCGGAGCCGUAGCUAACGCGUUAAGUGUUCCGCCUGGGGAGUACGCUCGCAAGGGUGAAACUCAAAGGAAUUGACGGGGGCCCGCACAAGCGGUGGAGCAUGUGGUUUAAUUCGACGCAACGCGAAGAACCUUACCAGGGCUUGACAUGGGAAGGACAGGACGAGAGAUCGUCCCUCUCCAGCAAUGGAGCCUUCUACACAGGUGCUGCAUGGCUGUCGU
rnacentral:rRNA from 1 species